rnacentral:lncRNA from 1 species
UAACAUACAGAGACUGGAGGGCUGCAGGGGGUCUCCACUGUGGCCACUGAAAGAAAAAAACAAAACCCAAACCAAAAAACAUAAAAACAAAAGGAAAAUUCUAGAAAUAGGAUCAGCUGAACCUGGGAGACCAUAAAGCCUGUGGCCCAGAAGAAGCUGGGUUCAGGGUGCAAACAUAGAAGAAAUGCAAGACAGCAUGGAACUCAAUUUAAGAUAUGGGUCUACUGCUUGGACCGAAGUAGCAAUUGGAUUAAAAAAGAGAAGGAGAAAAUGAAACUUGAGAUAGGUAAAUGUAGUCAUCCCAGACUUAGAUAAAGAGGGCCAAACAUAGAUGGGUAUAUUAGAAGUUGGAAUUGGA